AGACGCCCUGGUGAGAGAGGAGCGAGCGUGGAACAGUCAGGACAAGAGUGAGCUGAAGAAGGCGCAGGGAACCAUCAAGUACCUGGAGGGAAUCGUGGAGGAGAAGAACCAGAAGAUUGCUGAGCUACACAGAGAGAAAAAUGUGCAACUCUGGGAGCGAGAGAAGGAGCGACUCUUUGUGGAGUCAGACAAGAAGAUCAAGGAGCUAGAGAAAGAUCUGGCAGAUCAGAAAAGAACGAACGAGGGGCUGAACAAGAGGCUUACG